rnacentral:rRNA from 1 species
GACGAACGCUGGCGGCGUGCUUAACACAUGCAAGUCGAACGGAAAGGCCCUGCUUUUGUGGGGUGCUCGAGUGGCGAACGGGUGAGUAACACGUGAGUAACCUGCCCUUGACUUUGGGAUAACUUCAGGAAACUGGGGCUAAUACCGGAUAGGAGCUCCUGCUGCAGGGUGGGGGUUGGAAAGUUUCGGCGGUUGGGGAUGGACUCGCGGCUUAUCAGCUUGUUGGUGGGGUAGUGGCUUACCAAGGCUUUGACGGGUAGCCGGCCUGGGAGGGUGACCGGCCACCUUGGGACUGAGAUACGGACCAGACUCCUACGGGAGGCAGCAGUGGGGAAUAUUGCACAAUGGGCGGAAGCCUGAUGCAGCAACGCCGCGUGCGGGAUGACGGCCUUCGGGUUGUAAACCGCUUUCGCCUGUGACGAAGCGUGAGUGACGGUAAUGGGUAAAGAAGCACCGGCUAACUACGUG